GACGAACGCUGGCGGCGUGCUUAACACAUGCAAGUCGAACGGAAAGGCCCUGCUUUUGUGGGGUGCUCGAGUGGCGAACGGGUGAGUAACACGUGAGUAACCUGCCCUUGACUUUGGGAUAACUUCAGGAAACUGGGGCUAAUACCGGAUAGGAGCUCCUGCUGCAUGGUGGGGGUUGGAAAGUUUCGGCGGUUGGGGAUGGACUCGCGGCUUAUCAGCUUGUUGGUGGGGUAGUGGCUUACCAAGGCUUUGACGGGUAGCCGGCCUGAGAGGGUGACCGGCCACAUUGGGACUGAGAUACGGCCCAGACUCCUACGGGAGGCAGCAGUGGGGAAUAUGGCGCAAUGGGCGGAAGCCUGAUGCAGCAACGCCGCGUGCGGGAUGACGGCCUUCGGGUUGUAAACCGCUUUCGCCUGUGACGAAGCGUGAGUGACGGUAAUGGGUAAAGAAGCACCGGCUAACUACGUG
rnacentral:rRNA from 1 species